CUUGAAACUUCUUUUUUGGAUGGGAUAAGUAUUGCUGGGUCAGCCAUCCACACUAAAGACUGUGCCCUGGCUGGAGGGGUGAGUUAUCUAAAAGAAACCACCACAGCCCCAGAGUGACUGUUGACAAGGGCUGCUACCCCACAAGGAUACCGUGAUGCCAUGCCUGGCCAUGAGGCAGUGCAGGGUGGUCCUUUGGAAGAAAUUUCAUACAAACUGAAAUCAAAGAUUACCUACUUGAUACUUCUUUUU